AUUGAACGCUGGCGGCAUGCUUUACACAUGCAAGUCGAACGGCAGCACGGGGGCAACCCUGGUGGCGAGUGGCGAACGGGUGAGUAAUAUAUCGGAACAUGUCCGGAAGUGGGGGAUAACGUACCGAAAGGUACGCUAAUACCGCACAUGCCCUGAGGGGGAAAGCGGGGGAUGGCAAGACCUCGCGGUUUAGGAGUGGCCGAUAUCGGAUUAGCUAGUAGGAGAGGUAAAGGCUCACCUAGGCGACGAUCCGUAGCUGGUCUGAGAGGACGACCAGCCACACUGGGACUGAGACACGGCCCAGACUCCUACGGGAGGCAGCAGUGGGGAAUUUUGGACAAUGGGCGCAAGCCUGAUCCAGCCAUGCCGCGUGAGUGAAGAAGGCCUUCGGGUUGUAAAGCUCUUUCGGACAGAAAGAAAUCGCACAGGUUAAUACCUUGCGUGGAUGACGGAACUGUAAGAAGAAGCACCGGCUAACUACGUGCCAGCCGCCGCAGUAAUAC
rnacentral:rRNA from 1 species